UACGUAGGGUGCGAGCGUUAUCCGGAAUCAUUGGGCGUAAAGAGCUCGUAGGCGGUUCAACAAGUCGGCUGUGAAAGUCCGGGGCUCAACCCCGGAAUUGCAGUCGAUACUGUUGUGACUUGAGUCCGGUAGAGGAGAAUGGAAUUCCCGGUGUAGCGGUGGAAUGCGCAGAUAUCGGGAGGAACACCAGUAGCGAAAGCGGUUCUCUGGGCCGGCACUGACGCUGAGGAGCGAAAGCGUGGGGAGCAAACAGGAUUAGAUACCCUGGUA
rnacentral:rRNA from 1 species